GAUGAACGCUAGCGGCAGGCCUAACACAUGCAAGUCGAGGGAGAAGCCCUUUCGGGGGCAGAAACCGGCGCACGGGUGCGUAACGCGUAUGCAACCUACCUUUCACAGGGGGAUAGCCCGAAGAAAUUUGGAUUAAUACCCCAUAAUAUUAUUGGAUGGCAUCAUUUGAUAAUUAAAACUGCGGUGGUGAAAGAUGGGCAUGCGUCCUAUUAGCUAGUUGGAGUGGUAACGGCACCCCAAGGCUACGAUAGGUAGGGGUCCUGAGAGGGAGAUCCCCCACACUGGUACUGAGACAGGGACCAGACGCCUACGGGAGGCAGCAGUGAGGAAUAUUGGUCAAUGGUCGGAAGACUGAACCAGCCAUGCCGCGUGCAGGAAGAAUGCCUUAUGGGUUGUAAACUGCUUUUAUAUGGGAAGAAUAAGGCGUACGUGUACGUUGAUGACGGUACCAUAUGAAUAAGCAUCGGCUAACUCCGUG
rnacentral:rRNA from 1 species